GGCGCCCUACGGAGGCAGCAGUAGGGAAUCUUCCACAAUGGGCGCAAGCCUGAUCCAGCUAUUCCGCGUGUGGGAUGAAGGCCCUCGGGUUGUAAACCACUUUUGUAGAGAACGAAAAGACACCUUCGAAUAAAGGGUGUUGCUGACGGUACUCUAAGAAUAAGCACCGGCUAACUACGUGCCAGCAGCCGCGGUAAUACGUAGGGUGCGAGCGUUAAUCGGAAUUACUGGGCGUAAAGGGUGCGCAGGCGGUUGAGUAAGACAGAUGUGAAAUCCCCGGGCU
rnacentral:rRNA from 1 species